UACGUAGGGCGCAAGCGUUAUCCGGAAUUAUUGGGCGUAAAGAGCUCGUAGGCGGUUUGUCGCGUCUGCCGUGAAAGUCCGGGCUCAACUCCGGAUCUGCGGUGGGUACGGGCAGACUAGAGUGAUGUAGGGAGACUGGAAUUCCUGGUGUAGCGGUGAAAUGCGCAGAUAUCAGGAGGAACACCGAUGGCGAAGCAGGUCUCUGGGCAUUAACUGACGCUGAGGAGCGAAAGCAUGGGGAGCGAACAGG
rnacentral:rRNA from 1 species